CGGUGAGUAUGUGGUUAAUUCGACGCAACGCGAAGACCUACAGGUCUUGACAUCGAUUGCAAGGUGUAGAGAUACACCCUCUCUUCGAGACAAGAAGACAGGUGGUGCAUGGCUGUCGUCAGCUCGUGUCGUGAGAUGUUGGGUUAAGUCCCGCAACGAGCGCAACCCUAUCUAUGUUACCAUCAUUAAGUUGGGGACUCAUAGGAGACUGCCAGGGACAACCUGGAGGAAGGCGGGGAUGACGUCAAGUCAUCAUGCCCCUUAUGUCCUGGGCUACACACGUACUACAAUGGCCGGCAACAGAGGGAAGCGAAGCCGCGAGGCGGAGCGAACCCCAAAAACCCGGUCCCAGUUCGGAUCGCAGGCUGCAACCCGCCUGCGUGAAGUCGGAAUCGCUAGUAAUCGCAGGUCAGCAUACUGCGGUGAAUACGUUCCCGGGCCUUGUACACACCGCCCGUCACACCACGAAAGUUGGAAACACCCGAAGCCGGUGGGGUAACCGCAAGGAGCUAGCCGUCUAAGGUGGGGCCGAUGAUUGGGGUG
rnacentral:rRNA from 1 species